AUUGAACGCUGGCGGCGUGCUUAACACAUGCAAGUCGAGCGGUAACAGGCGUAGCAAUACGUGCUGACGAGCGGCGAACGGGUGAGUAAUGCUUCGGAAUCUUCCUUGUAGUGGGGAAUAACCUGGGGAAACUCAGGCUAAUGCCGCAUACGAACCAUGGUUGAAAGCGGGGGAUCGCAAGACCUCGCGCUAUAAGAUGAGCCGAAGUCGGAUUAGCUAGUUGGUGGGGUAAAGGCCUCCCAAGGCGACGAUCCGUAGCUGGUCUGAGAGGACGACCAGCCACACUGGGACUGAGACACGGCCCAGACUCCUACGGGAGGCAGCAGUGGGGAAUAUUGGACAAUGGGGGCAACCCUGAUCCAGCGACGCCGCGUGUGUGAAGAAGGCCUGCGGGUUGUAAAGCACUUUUAGUGGGGACAAAAAGCCGAGGGCUAAUACCUUUCGGUCUUGAUUUAACCCAAAGAAAAAGCACCGGCUAACUCUGUGCCAGCCGCCGCGGUAA
rnacentral:rRNA from 1 species